rnacentral:rRNA from 1 species
UACGGGGGGGGCAAGCGUUGUUCGGAAUUACUGGGCGUAAAGGGCGCGUAGGCGGUCAGAUAAGUCAGCUGUGAAAACCUCGGGCUUAACCCGAGGCCUGCAGUUGAAACUGUUUGGCUGGAGUGUGGGAGAGGAGAGUGGAAUUCCACGUGUAGCGGUGAAAUGCGUAGAGAUGUGGAGGAACACCAGUGGCGAAGGCGACUCUUUGGUCUGUAACUGACGCUCAGACACGACAGCAUGGGGAGCGAACGGG